rnacentral:sRNA from 12 species
ACCGCCGCCGGACGGAACCGGUCGCGAGGGUUGGGGAGCCCCAUGACCGAUCGGAUUUCGAGGUCGCCCGAGUUGAUAGGGAGCUCGGCGUGAACCGCUCUGGCGAAGGAG